rnacentral:rRNA from 1 species
AACGCUGGCGGUAUGCUUAACACAUGCAAGUCGAACGCAGUCUUCGGACUGAGUGGCGGACGGGUGAGUAACGCGUGAGAAUCUGCCUGAGGGUCGGGGACAACCACGGGAAACGGUGGCUAAUACCGGAUGUGCCGAGAGGUAAAAGACUUGUCGCCCGCAGAGGAGCUCGCGUCCGAUUAGCUAGUUGGUGAGGUAAGAGCUUACCAAGGCAACGAUCGGUAGCUGGUCUGAGAGGACAACCAGCCACACUGGGACUGAGACACGGCCCAGACUCCUACGGGAGGCAGCAGUGGGGAAUUUUCCGCAAUGGGCGCAAGCCUGACGGAGCAAUACCGCGUGAGGGAAGAAGGCUCUUGGGUCGUAAACCUCUUUUGUCAGGGAAGAAGCAAGUGACGGUACCUGACGAAUCAGCCUCGGCUAACUCCGUGCCAGCAGCCGCGGUAAUACGGAGGAGGCAAGCGUUAUCCGGAAUUAUUGGGCGUAAAGCGUCCGCAGGUGGCCGUUCAAGUCGGCGGUCAAAGACUGGGGCUCAACUCCGGAAAGGCCGUGGAAACUGAAAGGCUAGAGGGCAGUAGGGGUAGAGAGAAUUCCCGGUGUAGCGGUGAAAUGCGUAGAGAUCGGGAAGAACAUCGGUGGCGAAAGCGCUCUGCUGGACUGCAACUGACACUGAGGGACGAAAGCUAGGGGAGCGAAUGGGAUUAGAUACCCCAGUAGUCCUAGCCGUAAACGAUGGAUACUAGGUGUGGCUUGUAUCGACCCGAGCCGUGCCGUAGCUAACGCGUUAAGUAUCCCGCCUGGGGAGUACGCACGCAAGUGUGAAACUCAAAGGAAUUGACGGGGGCCCGCACAAGCGGUGGAGUAUGUGGUUUAAUUCGAUGCAACGCGAAGAACCUUACCAGGACUUGACAUGUCCGGAAUUCCCUUGAAAGGGGAGAGUGCCUUCGGGAGCC